GAUGAACGCUGGCGGCGUGCUUAACACAUGCAAGUCGAACGGAAAGGCCACAGCUUGCUGUGGUACUCGAGUGGCGAACGGGUGAGGAACACGUGGGUGAUCUGCACUGUACUUCGGGAUAAGCUUGGGAAACUGGGUCUAAUACCGGAUAGGAAUCACAUGUGGGUGUGUGGUUGGAAAGCUUUUGCGGUAUGGGAUGAGCUCGCGGCCUAUCAGCUUGUUGGUGGGGUAAUGGCCUACCAAGGCGUCGACGGGUAGCCGGCCUGAGAGGGUGUACGGCCACAUUGGGACUGAGAUAAGGCCCAGACGCCUACGGGAGGCAGCGGUGGGGAAUAUUGCACAAUGGGCGCAAGCCUGAUGCAGCGACGCCGCGUGGGGGAUGACGGCCUUCGGGUUGUAAACGCCUUUCGUCAGGGACGAAGCGAAAGUGACGGUACCUGGAUGAGAAGCACCGGCUAACUACGUG
rnacentral:rRNA from 1 species